GAUGAACGCUAGCGACAGGCUUAACACAUGCAAGUCGAGGGGCAGCAAUUUGUAGCAAUACAAAAUUGGCGACCGGCGCACGGGUGAGUAACGCGUAUGCAACCUACCUACAACAGAAGAAUAAUCCGGCGAAAGUCGGUCUAAUAAUUCAUAAAACAGGGACACCGCAUGGUGUUAUUUGUUAAAGAUUUAUCGGUUGUAGAUGGGCAUGCGUACCAUUAGGUAGUUGGUGAGGUAACGGCCCACCAAGCCUACGAUGGUUAGGGGUUCUGAGAGGAAAGUCCCCCACACUGGUACUGAGACACGGACCAGACUCCUACGGGAGGCAGCAGUGAGGAAUAUUGGUCAAUGGGCGAGAGCCUGAACCAGCCAAGUCGCGUGAAGGAUGACGGCCCUAUGGGUUGUAAACUUCUUUUGCAGGGGAAUAAAGAUAUUCAC
rnacentral:rRNA from 2 species